rnacentral:rRNA from 1 species
GACGAACGCUGGCGGCGCGCUUAACACAUGCAAGUCGAGCGGUAAGGCCCUUUCGGGGGUACACGAGCGGCGAACGGGUGAGUAACACGUGGGUGACCUGCCCUUAGCUCUGGGAUAAGCCUGGGAAACUGGGUCUAAUACCGGAUAUGACUCCAUGACGCAUGUUGUGGGGUGGAAAGCCUUGUGCGGCUAGGGAUGGGCCUGCGGCCUAUCAGCUUGUUGGUGGGGUGAUGGCCUACCAAGGCGACGACGGGUAGCCGGCCUGAGAGGGCGACCGGCCACACUGGGACUGAGACACGGCCCAGACUCCUACGGGAGGCAGCAGUGGGGAAUCUUGCGCAAUGGGCGAAAGCCUGACGCAGCGACGCCGCGUGGGGAUGACGGCCU